GGAGGUUUAGCUCAGUUGGGAGAGCGUCUGCCUUACAAGCAGAGGGUCACAGGUUCAAGCCCUGUAACCUCCA
rfam:Lactobacillus algidus DSM 15638 Scaffold1, whole genome shotgun sequence.